rnacentral:lncRNA from 1 species
CUUCAGACUCCAAGAGCGGGGCCUGUGUGUCCGCUGCUCCUGCCAGGCUGGCGAGGUCUCCUGUGAGGAGCAGGAGUGCCCAGUCACCCCCUGUGCCCUGCCUGCCUCUGGCCUCCAGCUCUGCCCAGCUCACCCUGACCAGCCUGCCCCACCCAGGUGCCUGCUGCCCCAGCUGUGACAGCUGCACUUACCACAGCCAAGUGUAUGCCAAUGGGCAGAACUUCACGGAUGCAGACAGCCCUUGCCAUGCCUGCCACUGUCAGGAUGGAACUGUGACAUGCUCCUUGGUUGACUGCCCUCCCACGACCUGUGCCAGGCCCCAGAGUGGACCAGGCCAGUGUUGCCCCAGGUGCCCAGGU